GCUCGCUUAGCUCAGUUGGUCAGAGCGCUUCGGUGACAUCGAAGAGGCCAUAGGUUCAAGUCCUAUAGUGAGCA
rnacentral:tRNA from 1 species